GAUCAUGGCUCAGGAUGAACGCUGGCGGCGUGCCUAACACAUGCAAGUCGAACGGAGAAUUUUAUUUCGGUAGAAUUCUUAGUGGUCGAACGGGUGAGUAACGCGUAGGCAACCUGCCCUUUAGACGGGGAAAACAUUCCGAAAGGAGUGCUAAUACCGGAUGUGAUCAUCGUGCCGCAUGGCAGGAUGAAGAAAGAUGGCCUCUACAAGUAAGCUAUCGCUAAAGGAUGGGCCUGCGU
rnacentral:rRNA from 1 species